AGGUUUGCUUUUAACUAUGAGGGGUUCUAUGCAAACUUUGAAAUGCCUUUUUACUUCAUAUUUGAAAAUGUGUAUGUCUGUGCAUUCGUAAUGUGGGAGAUGGUAAAGGUUCUCACCUGCAUUAAAACUAAGUGCUCUGUAGGCUGCUGCUGUGAUCUAUGAAAUGGAAAUUUUGACACUAUUGUCAAGU
rnacentral:lncRNA from 1 species